AAAAGGUUGGGGUCAGCGAGGCCGAAAUUCGGGGUCGGCGGGAGGAAGAAGGGUUGCAGACAAUGAAGUAGAAGGUUUGGGGUCAACGAGGCCAAAAUUUGGGGGCAGUGGGGUCCAAAAGCUGGGGGGUUAAUAAGGGGAAGGGUUGGGGUCAGCAGCAGGGGCAAAGUUUGGGGUCAAUAAGGCCAAAAUUUGGGGUCAAUAAGGCCAAAAUUUGGGGGCCAGUGGGAGGGACAUGGGUUGGGGUUAGCGAGACCCAAAGUUUGGGGUCAAUAAGGCCAAAAUUUGGGGGUCAGCGGGACAGAUACAAGUUGGGGUCAAUGAGGUGAUGAUUUGAGUUGAAACGAGCCCGUUUCGGGGCUCAAGAACGCCAAAAGUUGGGCAAACGUUGGGCAAAAAGUUGGGCAAAACGCCUCGGCAAAAAAAAAAAAAAAAGAAAAAAAAAAAAGCCAAUUUUGAGAAAAACAAAGGCCAACAUCAGGGGAAAAAAACAAACAAACAAACAGCAUUGGGUAUAACGCAGAUCAAGAACGCAGCCCUCAACGAGGCCAUCGCCAUGAGGUCCCACCCUGCCAAAAUCUGG
ensembl:lncRNA